AAUCAUCACACACACAUAUAUAUAUAUAUAAUAAUUAUAAUUACAUAAUAAUAAUAUAAAAUGUUGGGCCAUGGAAAGGCCCGCUUGGUAGUUGAUAGUUCACUGGGACUGCUAGCGGGGUAAAGUGAUGUACUGGACGUGUUUCAAUGUGUUGGGCCAUUACAUUAUACUCUUUUUUUUUUUCAUAGAGACAAGUGGGGCCAUCCGCUGCGUUCAGGCAUAUCAAUUUGGGAAAACAAUCCCACAUCGAAAAUGAGAGCAAAAAAUAAGAGUACAUGCAAUGCGGUGCUUGUUUCGUAGGGCACAACCUUACUUGAACGCGAUCUGUUCUAUAGGCUCGUACCUUUGAGUCCUUGAGUUCUAAGGAGAGAGGAAUUUAAGUCUCAUUAAUAAACAAUGGUCGUGUGACUAGAGCGCGCGAGUAACGGCUCCCGUUUCUUCGCAGGGAUGGAGCGGCUGUAGAGGAAGGUUCUCGGCCCACGAUUGAUGAGACGGAGCGGCUCUAGAGGAACGUUCUUGGCCCAGGAUUGAGGAUUGGGGUGGUCACAUGGCUGUCUAACAUACUUCUUCCUCUCUUUUUUUCGAUCUAUCUUUUAUAUUAUUUCUUAUCUCCUUAAUAAACAGGAAGAUAGCGAGUACGAUUAUUGAGAUCGAGCAAAUUGUUGCUACAGCAGCUUUCAUCAACCAAUUACUUAAUAUUUUUUAUCUUUUAUAUUUUAUCUUAUAUAUUAAUUAAAUCCGGUUGAGUAAAUCUGUUGUGCAAUACUUUACCCAAAAUACAAAUAUUAUAUAUAUUUAUGUUCUGCAAUGUUUUGCCCUUAUCUGUUCUGAUUUUGCACAGAUUCUGAGAGCUGUCGAUUAGUCCCAUGAUUCUGAAACUUCAAGGGGUCAAAUUUGACUUCUCCGAUGAUAUGUCAUAUAUAUUAUUGAUUAGGGAUCAUGUAGUCCCAAGAACAGUAAGAUACAUAUUAUUAUCAUUAUCAUGGGAUUUGGAGCUGUUCCUAAGAAUCCUCCAAAUCUGAUUCUUGCA